UCUUUUUUUUCUUGAGGCACAGUUUGCCCAGCUGCAAAAUGGAAAGAGGACAAAGCAGGGAAAUGAGACUGUGUAGGAAACUGCCCACAUCUGAGUCAGCGCCCCACCCUGAGGUUACACCCUUGAGCCUUUGCACCACCCGGAGGAAAGAAACUGAAAUAGAAGUAGGGUGAAUCUCUGGGGAAGCGGAGCUCCAGGACGCAUUGGUUGGGUCUUCAGUCCAGGGAAGCCUGGCCGGCAUCCUGAUGGCAUCUGGAACCUGGGGGCUGAAAAGAGAGUUAACAUACAAAGCCAAACAAAUUGUUUAACAAUCAUGGACCCAAAGGUUGGAAUUGUUGGUAUGCUUCUAGUUCUGCUUCUGGGAUCUAGUUCUUCUUCUGUUAUAUUGCUUGAUGUUGUGGUCUAUUUACAUGAUCUUUCUGUUACAUUGGUUUGGUCUCACUCCCCCCGCCUCCGGGAGAUUUGGUUUAGCCCUUGCUAGUUUUGUGCUUCUCCCUUCUCCCCGCCCCCUACCCUAAGUACUUCCUGAGUUCCUGAUGCUGCCACAGAGGGAGAAAGAUGGAGGAGCACAUUGUGUGGUGAUUAGGUGUUGGACUGUUUGCCCGCUUGUGAAUAAAGAUUAAACUGCAUUCUCAGCUCA